ensembl:lncRNA
CUGCCCGCUGAAAUAUAGCAUGUUUGAGCGACAACAAGAGGGGAGGGGAUGCGAGAGCGUGAUAGAUUGUCUUUGCCUGCCUCUCCCCUCUCUCAGGCUGAGAGAUUGUUAUACAAUGUAAAUGUUGCUCCGCAUAUAUGAAAUAAACCUGUCAUGUUUCAAUCUAUAGCCCCAGUUGUUUGUCAUUCUUAGCAUGUCUGUCUAUAAAUAUCUGCUCAUCCAUCUGUUAUGAAUCCAUGAAGUUCAGCCUGUCUGCAAGGUAAAUUAAUGUGUAUUGAUCUUCUCUCCCUCUCUCUUUCUGAUCUGCUAAAAAUAAUUUAAUUGUCUUCUUCCCUCCCCCCAAAAUUAGAAUAUUAAUAAGCCCUUCUUAGCUUCCUUCUAUUUCGGUCCUUAAAUCCAUUUCUUUCCUUUUUUCCCUCUGUCCAUCUAAUUGAACCUGUUAAAAAGCAUAAUUAGCAUUUAAAUCUCACCCACACUGUCUCCCUCCCUCUCUCUCCCUCAGUCUCUACAUGUCUCUGUCGCUAAGGCAACCAAUGCUUUUCCCACUCCCUCUCUACAUCUCCCCUUCUCUCUCUGCCUCUUUCCCUCACUCCCUCCUUUUGCAGCGAGAGAGAGAUGAUUGGAGAAGAGGGGGGUCUGUGAACUGCUGAAGCGAUGGAGAGAUGGCCACGCCUACGCCGCUCUGGGCGGUGGUCUGGGGACCGACCCACCCCAUCGAAGACGAGACGCCCCAUUUCCCAUCCGCCUAUGAGAUGAGCAGCCGUCACCCCCUGACCGAAGGUUGGGAGCAUCGUCAGGGCCCGCCGACGACUCAAACGCAGCAGCUCCUGCAGGCUGAAAGAGAGGAGGACGGAUGGGUGGAAGGAGGCACGGAGACGGACAGAGAGGUGGAGGAAGUUGAUCCACAGUUCUACGUUACUGUGACCAUCUCCUCUCUCUUGAUUCUGACAGCUGUCAUUAUAACCGCCAAACUCUGCUAUGACCGCAGUUGCUCCCGGCACCCGCCCCCCCUCUCCCGUGGCACGGCCCCCCCGCUCUCCCUCUCCAUCCCCAGGUCCCUCACCCCGGAGGAGGGCAGGCGGACACUGCACGGGCUCCCUUCCUUCACCGACAGGGAGAGAAUUCCUGUGGUGAACCUCUAAUGCGACUGUUGAUCAUAUUUCUACCGGGGAUGAAUUUGAGAUGUCGAAGGUGUAACUAUUUUUUAACCGUCGAACACCGAGCUCCGAUAUUUAGCCAUUUAUAACCCAUCAUAAGGAUGUGUAGGAGUAGAGAUGCAAGCUGUCAUCCUCCUGCUGCUGACCUUGGCGUGCGUGUAUCACACCUGUCUUCUACGGCUCUGUAGUGCAGUGUCUUGUACUGUUAGAAAUACGCUGUUUUAUUCUGCAGUUUAGAUUGUUGCAGCUACAACAAAUUCAGCUCGAGCUCCAGACUGCGCAGGGCUAACCAGUGACUCCACCAGGGAGAAGCCAUUAACCUCUCAUAAUCUAUUAUUCAGCACAGCUUCCACAAGCUGUAGGGGGAUAAGGUCGACACUGUAGCACAAUGGAAAUCUACCCAGAAGUAACCGCAGAAAUCAGAUAAUCCGCAAGUAAACGGUUACGCAUAACCGCCCGUAGACCACUUUCAGUGCACGUAGUGCUGUUCGGUGUCGAGUUCAACCUGUCUCAUAAAUGUCAUGUGAAUUCAGCAACUGUGUGGUACAGUGACUCCCUAAAAGACAAUAAAAGGCGAU